CAAAUCUCUAAACAGUGCAACAAGUGCACCUGCAACAGUGGAAGCUGGGGGUGCACUAAAAAAGACUGUCCAGGAACCUGCACUAUGUAUGGGAGUGGUCACUACUGUACAUUUGAUGAGCAGAUAUAUUGGUUUCAUGGAGAGUGUGCCUAUGUUGCUGUUAAGAGCAAUUGUGGCGAUAAAACAGUACAGCAGCACUUUGGAGUUAUCACAGAAAAUGUACCAUGUGGAACUACAGGC